CAAUCAGUGAUCUCCUUGAGGGAGUCUCUGCAUAACUCCUCCCACGGGAACUACCAUAUGUCUCUGUGAAGUCCUAUUUCUCGUUCUCUCUUCCUCCUGCUGACAAGACAAGACAAGACAGUUAGAUUUCCCAGCGGGAGGAACCAGAGCCGGGGUAAUCCGGAUUACUUCGUGAUGUUGUGUUAUUGUAUAUUUUGCCAUUAAAUCAGCAUAUUUGUUAUAACCUGACCCUGGUUGCUUUGAAUUCUUCCUCUGUUAAUCUGACCCCUUCACAAAAGGACACGCGGAGGCAGAGGGGGGGGGGCCUCAGAGCCCCCGCCAGAGUGUGACUCCUGCCCCAACAGUACCGGACUGGCCAUCUGUAGAAUCACCAAACGCGCGGAUCGGUUAGCUGUUUUUAAACGGCAUCAUUGAAGUUGCGCUGACAGACGACAGAGGUCCACCGUUUCCCAGUCUGCCCCUGCCGGCCAUCAUCUACUCUAGGGAGUUCUCCCCUGACAGCUGGACACUACAUGAUAGCAGAGGAUCAGACCAUCGUCAGUGGCAGUGUCCUGAAUGUUGUCGACGCCCUGAUGCUGAUGUUUGCAGCAUAUUACUGCGUCAACAUCAGUUAUCGCUCAGAACUGGGAGCUACCCUGGAGUUCUUGCAGAGGACGAGCAUGACAGCAUCGUGGACCAAACUAUGAAGGUGCUUGUGAUCCAUGAUGCCAGGGACGGGACCAGCAGAUGUGUCCAUUGUCAGAGAGGGAGACAGAGUUUUGUGCGGAAACCAAACAAAGGCAUGUGCAUUGUUGAUGGGAUUCAUCUCUACGCCCUCAACCUGGAAUACCCCAACAAGCUCAAAUACACAUUUGAGGUAUUCUAAAAACAGUUUUUGGAGCUUGAUGGAGCCAAGCUGCUCAAAAAGGUCCAGAGCCGCAAAUAAACAAUUUGUUCUGAAGUGGAUGUUGACUUGUUUUAGUGCCGAGUGACACAAACACAAAAUAAUGUGAUGUGGAAUGUAAUGGAUGUGGAGAAACCUUUUUCUGUUAAAAGUGGACUGUUUACUGGCACUCAAAGGUUUUAAUAGUUGAGUAAAUUGCACUUGGAAGAUUAUGUUAAAAAUGUUUACAAUUUCCAUGCACUUUACUGUUAAAACAAUGUGAUUGUGUGACUAUUUUGAAGAUUCUGCUCAGUUAACAAUUGAAAUGCACUUAACUGUUUAAAUAAUCUCAAUGUAUGGCCAUAUUGCACUUAUACAUUUGGUCAAUAAAAAAAAACAUGAUCA